ACGCUGGCGGCGUGCUUAACACAUGCAAGUCGAACGAUGAAGCCCAGCUUGCUGGGUGGAUUAGUGGCGAACGGGUGAGUAACACGUGAGUAACCUGCCCUUAACUCUGGGAUAAGCCUGGGAAACUGGGUCUAAUACCGGAUAGGAGCGUCCACCGCAUGGUGGGUGUUGGAAAGAUUUAUCGGUUUUGGAUGGACUCGCGGCCUAUCAGCUUGUUGGUGAGGUAAUGGCUCACCAAGGCGACGACGGGUAGCCGGCCUGAGAGGGUGACCGGCCACACUGGGACUGAGACACGGCCCAGACUCCUACGGGAGGCAGCAGUGGGGAAUAUUGCACAAUGGGCGCAAGCCUGAUGCAGCGACGCCGCGUGAGGGAUGACGGCCUUCGGGUUGUAAACCUCUUUCAGUAGGGAAGAAGCGAAAGUGACGGUACCUGCAGAAGAAGCACCGGCUAACUACGUGCCAGCAGCCGCGGUAAUACGUAGGGUGCGAGCGUUAUCCGGAAUUAUUGGGCGUAAAGAGCUCGUAGGCGGUUUGUCGCGUCUGUCGUGAAAGUCCGGGGCUUAACCCCGGAUCUGCGGUGGGUACGGGCAGACUAGAGUGCAGUAGGGGAGACUGGAAUUCCUGGUGUAGCGGUGGAAUGCGCAGAUAUCAGGAGGAACACCGAUGGCGAAGGCAGGUCUCUGGGCUGUAACUGACGCUGAGGAGCGAAAGCAUGGGGAGCGAACAGGAUUAGAUACCCUGGUAGUCCAUGCCGUAAACGUUGGGCACUAGGUGUGGGGACCAUUCCACGGUUUCCGCGCCGCAGCUAACGC
rnacentral:rRNA from 1 species